rnacentral:rRNA from 1 species
AUUGAACGCUGGCGGCAGGCCUAACACAUGCAAGUCGAGCGGAGCGGCGGACGGGUGAGUAAUGCCUGGGAAUCUGCCUGGUAGUGGGGGAUAACGUCCGGAAACGGGCGCUAAUACCGCAUACUAUCAGCUUAGCCUAGGUCGGCUUGGCUAGUUGGUGGGGUAAAGGCCUACCAAGGCGACGAUCCGUAACUGGUCUGAGAGGAUGAUCAGUCACACUGGAACUGAGACACGGUCCAGACUCCUACGGGAGGCAGCAGUGGGGAAUCUGCCGAAAUGGACGAAAGUCUGACGGAGCAACGCCGCGUGAGUGAUGACGGCCUUCGGGUUGGAAAGCUCUGUUAAUCGGGACGCGGUACCAGAAUAGAAAGCCACGGCUAACUACGUGCCAGCAGCCGCGGUAAUUC